rnacentral:lncRNA from 1 species
GUUCAUUAAAAAUUACUGACAUGAAGCAGAUUAAUAGGAGAAAAGUAUACAAAACUAUUUAAUGUGUAUACAUAGGAAAAUCACUGAGUGAUUUCCUAUCCCACAGCAUGGUUCAGGAAAAGAGAAAUUCUGUUGAGUGGAUUACUAGGAAGGAUAAAUAGAUCAGGAAACAGAAAUUAACUUGUACAUUAUCUUGUGAAAGAUUCUGUUCAGGUGUGGUUACACUUUUGGUAUUAUAAGGAGAGGAACAAAAACUUUUUUUUCUUUUGUUGGGUCUGAUCUUAGGUAGAUAAAGGCUUUGGGAGAAUCAGAGGGAAGGGGAAGGCCAGAGACAGCUUGAAGCUUCUUCAGUUCAGCAUGUCAAAAUGCCACAUUUUGGGCUAUCAACUUCUGUAUUAGUCUAUUGUGCACUGCUAUAAAGGAAUACCUGAGACUGAGUAAUUUAUAAAGAAAAAAGGUAUAUUUGGCUCAUGGCUCUGCAGGCUAUACAAGCAUUGCACCAGUAUCUGCUUGGUUUCUAUUGAGGCCUGAGAAAGCUUUUACUUUUGGCAGAAGGCAAAGGCAGAGCAGGUGUGCUCGCAGGCAUGUCACGUGGUGAGGGAGGGAAAAAGAGAGUGGGGGAGGUGCCAGCCUCCUGCUCUUGAGUGAACUAACAGAGCAAUAACUCACUCAUUAUCCUGGGUAGGGCAUAAAGCCAUUCACGAGGGAUCUGCCCCUAUGACCCAAACACCUCUUACCAAGUCCCACCUCUAAUAUAUUGGAAAUCACAUUUCAACAUGAGAUUUGAAGGGGACAAAUAUCCAUACUAUAUUAGUUUCUGUGCCCCAAUAAGAUCCAUGAGUCUUGCAGUAACUACUGAAUUACUGUACUCAUUUCUAUCUCCAACGGAUGAGGAAAGUUGGAAUAGAGUCUCCUCCUACAAGUGCAAAUGUUCCUGAGAAGAGUAAAGGUAAUAUAUGUAAAGCUGCUCUGAUGAGCAAUCAGUCAACAACAAUCAGCCAGGAGAAGGGACUGCUUCUAGGAUGAUGCCUUACCACCACUACCUUUCAGUAUAAGGUCCAGCCUAGAGUAGAGGGGGAAACAGAUAUGGAGAAAAUGACCUAAGUCCAACGCAAUUAUGCCGUUCCAGGUAUCUCUCCACCCUCUGACCCCUGGGUCACUAACCAACAGCCGAGAGAAGAUGAUCCCUUGUGGAGGGUGGCUAACCUCACAGCAUGUAUAGGAUUAGAUUACAGAUGAAGAGAAGGUUUUUUCUCAAACUGGACAACUUGCUUUGAUUGAUAGUGAGGCCCUGAAGAUUUAGGAUCGAAUCUGACACUUCAUAUGAACUCAGAGGACAUGGUCCCAGGAUCAUAGGAAAAAGGAAGGUUUUUCAUGCUUUGUCUGAAUAUUGCCAGGGCUUAUGUUCAGCCAAUAUUCAACAGUGGAUACAAUAUAGCACUAUAUUUAACUAUGUCAAGUAUUCAAGUUGAUAAAAAGUGGUUCCUUAACCCCCUUAGUGCCUCACUACUUCCUUGAUCACCCGGCUUCUAACUAGGGCCCUGAACUAUCUCUAAUCCAGCAACUAUAGGACUAACAUAUGGCACUGUGGUUAUACUGGUUGUUAUAAAUUUUAAAGACUAUAUUGAAUGAAGGUAAGGUGAUAUGCUAAAUGAUUUUUCAAGGUAUGUUUGAAUCCUACAUUCAUGUGAUAACUAGAACAAAUAGAGUAUACAUACUUGGUUAAAAGAACAUAUUGACUUAUGUUUCUAGGUAUAAUUUAUUUGGGAUCAAGUAAAGAAGUAGCUAAAUUACAUUUACUUCUCAAAAAAAGCCUAUUGAUUACUAGCAUGGCAAAGCUCCUGACACAAUUACUUUAUAAAUUGCUUAGCAAUGACCUCGCAACAGUAGCAGGAGUUGGCAGAUGCAUGCCAUUGCAUUUUCUCAGGCCAAAUAGUAUAACUUCUUGGCAUACUUUGAGAAAAUUCUAAAAAUGGCAUUUUCCAUGUACAAAGCAAUGAAAAUGGAAUGCCUUUUCUGUUAUCACCAUAUAUGGAAUGUGGUAGAGAAAGAAGCAGACAUUUAAAAUUCACACAAGAGAAUUUCAAAGACUUUUCCAUCAGCAGUCAUGCUGGGAGAAUGUGUGACUAUACUUCAGUCAUGACCAUACAAAAAUAAUUAAAUAAGGGAUUUGCACCAUAUCCAGGUACAGCUGCUGUUCUCAUCUAUGCUUUUAUCUAUGAGGCCACGGUUGACUUAUUGAACUAGCAAAACCUAACAUUUUCUGUAGAAAGUGGACAGACUGCCAGAAAUUUACUCUCUGUCUCCCAAACCUAUGCAAAAUUUAUCCAUUCCAUAUGUAUACCCGGUCUUUAUCCAGAUUUUCUAUUUUACCUGAAAUAUUUUAUCAGUCUGUACAAUGAACUGGUAGAAUAUGUCUGGAACUUAUCGUGUAGACUUUGCUCAGUUCUGAGAAACAUUUAUCAAAACAUCAAGUGAGAAUGACCCAGAAUUUUAUUACUCGAUCAUACUCUGCCAUUAAUGAUACAUAAAUUGCAUUGUUGUUGAAUUAAGAUUUGGAAUUUUCUUUACUACUGCGUAUUAAUGUAUUUUUGGGCUAGGCAAUAUGUUAAAUUUUAAAUAGGAAUUAAAAAUGUAUGUUUACAUAUUCAUAUGUAUAAUUUUGCAUUUUAAUUCUAGCACCUAUUAUAAUUUGACUUGCAUUAUAGUUAGUUGUACAAAUGUAUGUUUUCCUUAUGAGACUGAGCUCCUUAUGGAUAAAGGGCAUAGUUUAUGCACUUUUGUUUACCAACAAUACAGGAUUUUUCUUGGAAGAAAAUAGUAAUCACUUAAGAAAUAUUUUUUUCAAUUGAGUUGAGCUGAACUGAAGGGCUUUUUCAAAGCUUUAUGGUACAAAUUCUUUUGGGACAACCUUCUACUUUGCUGGCUCUCUGCAUUGCUUAGGCAGAGCAAUGUGGUUGAGUAUAACAUUUUUGAAAUGAUUUUUUUACUGAAUUCUAGGCAAAGCAAAAUGUAUUUUUAGAGAUAUUGUUGUUGCUUUUCAUCUUUUGUUACCAUGAUAUUAUUCAUAAUCUCAAAUAGAAAAAUAUGUUUAUAGCUAAAUAAAUGCCACUUUUUCUUCCGGCCCUCUAGAAAAUGUCUAAACACAGAAUGAUAUUCAAGGACAUGAGUUGAGCCUAGUGUUUGUUGCUAAUUAUUGUUUGACAUUAGGCUAACUUCCGGAGACUUAAAUUGCACUGAAUUUUUAAAAUGGUAAAACUGGUCUAGAUAAUGUCUAAUAUCUCUUGAAGCCCAAAGAUCUUUUAUUUUCUCACAUGUUAUUUUGUUUAAGAUAUAGUCCAGUAAAACAUAGGGAAAAUAAGUUAGACAAGCCCUUCAAUACCAUCCCAAUUCCAUCCCCCAUUCAGUUCCCCCCAACUCCAUCCCCAAAGAAAUCUAUAUUUAAGCCUCAUUAUUUGCCUUUAUACUUUUCCACACAGUAGGUGUAGGCAGGUAUUGAGACCCCUCUUCCUCAGGGAGACAAAUGAAAGCACAGAGGGAGCAAGAAAUUUGAACAUGUAUAUCUAUCAUUUAAUGAAUGGGGAAAUAGGAAUAGGUCAGAUCUCUUUAGUUCAUGUCCUUUAUUUGACAAGUGACAAGUGACUUUUCACAAAUAUGGCCUUAUUUCCUUCUUAUUGCUGUACCUGAAAAAGUCUCUCCAAUGUCAUCUGACACAAUUUCACCCAUCUUUCACAAUACUUUCCUUUCUAUAUUCCCUUAUCCCCUUUAGGCUUCUUUUUAUGUUGUUUCUUAAAAAAAUUUUAUUACUUUCUUUUUAUGAUACAAAUUAGCACAGGAGAAAUACAAGAAGAAACACUAGUUAUUUUCUCUUUUUAGUAGUAAUCAGGACAAUAAAAGCUAAAGUAAGUACACAUUUGAUGCCAUAUUUAACAACAUGCUGUAAUGUUUACAUUUUAAUGGACCUUAAACUCUGCAGAUAUAUAUAAAUCCUUUCUUUUCCCUCUAUCGAUCGUAAAAUACUACUUGGAAUGAUUUAAUCAGGGCCGAGUUGAGAAUUUUUAAAGUAAUUGAAUACUAAUUACUAAUCUGCUCUCAAACAUAACUUUUGAAGUAAGAAUUUGCUGAGUGCUUAAAUCAGUUGCACUCAACUUUUAGCAGUGGCCACUUCUAAAGGAAAAAGAACCAUAUUAUUGAAAUAACAGAAACUUGUAAAAGGAAAGGAAAGAAACAGAAUUCAGAAGAUUAAGAAACAAUCGACUUAACACUAAUACACCUUUGUUCUUUUGAAUCCUUAGGAAUUGUUUCCUUUUGGAUCUCUAUAAUUUAAGAGAGUUCUCAAAUUUAAAACUAAUCAGAAUUACCUGAUGGGUUUAAGUACGUACUGCUGGGUCCCAUUCCCAGAGUUUCUGAUUCAACAGGUCUAGACUGAGGACUGAAAAUUUGAAUUUCUAAUAGGUUCCUCGGUGUUGCUGAUGUGGCUGGUCAGGAGACCACACUCUUGAGAACUCAUUGAUGUGGGUUAUAUAAUGACCUCUAUCUUAAGGGAAAAUACUUAUAAAACCAGUUUCUGUUCUGCCUACAAACUAUGUUAUUCAUCAACAGUAUUUAAUUGUUCUUAAUGCAAGAAUGAAAGUUUUCUUUAAAUUGUGGUUUGAUAAAGUAAAAAAUGCAGACUGGCUGAAAAAAUGUGUAUAAAAUAGAGGGAAUUUGAAAUCAUUAUACCAUUAAAAUAAGUAUCUAAAAAAUCAAUAUAAAAAAAUCAGUAGCAUUUGUGUACACCAAAACGUUCACGCAGAGAGCCAAAUCAGGAAUGCAAUAUCAUUUGCAAUAGCCACAAAAAGAGUAAAAUAUCUAGAAAGCUAAUGAAGGAGGUGAAAGAGCUCUACAAAGAGAACUACAAAACACUGCUGAAAGAAAUGAGAGAUGACAAAAAUAAGUGGAAAAACACUUUAUGCUCACAGAUUGGAAAAAUCAAGAUAGUUAAAAUGGCAAUAUUGUCCAAAACCAUUUAUAGAUUCAGUGGUAUUCCUAUCAAACUACCAACAUAAUUUUUCACAGAACUAGAAAAAAGUGUCUUAAAUUUAUAGGGAACCAAAAAAGAGCCCAAAUCACCAAAGCAAUCCUAAGCAAAAACAACAAAGCCAGAAGCAUCACAUCACCCAACUUCAAACUAUACUAUAAGACUACAGUAACCAAAACAGCAUGGUAUCAGUACAAAAACAGACACAUAGACUAAUGAAACAGAAUAAAGAACCCAGAAAUAAAGCCACACACCUACAACCAUCUGAUCUUAGACAAGGCCAAUAAAAACGAACAAUGGGGAAAAGACUUCCUAUUUAAUAAAUGGUGCUGGAAUAACUGCCUAUCCAUACGCAGAAGAAUGAAACUGGACCCCAAUCUAUCACCAUAUGCAAAUAUUAACUCAAUAUGCAUUAAAGACUUAAAUAUAAGACUACAAAGUAUAAAAAUUCCAGGUGAAAAGCUAGGAAAUAUCCUUCUCAAUAUCAGCCUUGACAAAUAAUUUAUGGCUAAGUCCUCAAAAAAAAUUGCAACAGAAACAUUGACAAGUGGGAUCUAAUUAAACUAAAGAGCUUCUGUGCAGCAAAAAACAAACUAUCAACAGAGCAAACAGACAAUCUAUCGAAUUCGAGAAAAUAUUAGCAAACUAUACAUCUGACAAAGUUGUAUUAUCCAGAAUAUAUAAGACAUUUAAACAAAUCCAUAAGCCAGAAUAAAAUAACCCCAUUAAAAAGUGGACAAGGACAUGAAGGACAGGAGAUGUGUCUACAUCUCAAAAGAAAUUAUGCAAGUGGCCAAGAAACGUAGGAAGAAAUACUCAUCAUCACUAUUCAUCAGAGAAAUGCAAAUCAAAACCACAAUGAAAUACCAUCUCACACCAGUCAGAAUGGCUUUUGUUAAAAAAUCAAAAAAUAACAGAUGUCGGAAAGGCUGUGGAGAAAAGGGAGCAUUUAGACACUGUUGGUAGAAAUGCAAAUCAGUUCAGCCACUGUAGAGAGCAGUUUGGAGGUUUCUAGAUGAACUAAGAGUUGAAUUAUCAUUUGACCCAGCAAUCCUAUUACUGGAUAUACCCAAAGGAAAAUAAACUGUUCUACCAAAAAGACACAUGCAAAAAUAUGUUCAUCACAGUGCUAUUUACAAUAGCAAAGACAUGGAAUCAACUCAGGUGCCCAUUAAUGGUGGACUGGAUAAAGAACAUGUGGUACAUACACACCAUGAAAUACUAUGCAGCCAUAAAACAAUGAAAUUAUGUUAUUUGCAGCAACAUGGCUGCAGCUAGAUGCCAUUAUCCUAAGUGAACUAAUGCAGAAACAGAAAACCAAAUACCACACAUCCUCACUUAUAAGUGGGAGCUAAACAUUGGGUACCCGUGGACAUAAAGAUGGGAACAAUAGACAUUGGGGAAUACAAGAGAGAGGAGGCAAAGAAGGAGGAAAGGAUUGAAAAACUACCUAUUGGGCACUAUGCUCACUAUCUGGCUGAUUCAUGUUUAUUCCAAACCUCAACUUCAAGCAAUAUAUCUUUGUAACAAAUCUGCACAUGUACCUCCUGAUUCUUAUUUCAGGAAAAGAAUAAGAUAAAGUUGAAAAAAUAUAUGAAAUAAGUAUCUUAGAUAUAUUAGCAUAGUAUCUAGAGAAAAAUUUUAAUGCUCCUUUCACAAACCUGAAAUCAUCCAGACUCCAUUGAAGACCAGUAGAGCAUCAUAAAAAUUAUUACAUAGGCACACAGACAUACACAUUGUAAUACUUACCAUGCUAUAACAUAGCCAUAUAUACUCUGGAAAGUGUCUCAAGAGUAUGUAAUAUGAAAAUCAUAGUGCUAUAGCAGUGACAUCAUGCAGGUUGCUGAAAUAUUAGAACAUAUAUUCAUUUAAUUCAGUGUAAUUGGAAUGAUUUGUUAUACUAAUAAAAACAAAAUAUUUACUCAUAUAAUUAUCUUAUGACUUCAUUUACAUCAUCAGAAAUCCUCGAACUAUUUAUUUGAAAUUUUUAAUAUCUGGGGCUUUUAUUUUACAGAGUAGAUAUGCUUGGUGUAGUCAAAGCUAAUUAACAAUUAAAGCUCACAUACUAUUUGAUAUCAUGCCUUCCAAAUUAGGACUUUAGAACAUGCUGUUAUUCAAAAUGGCCAAGUGUAUUCAAGCUUAUUAAAUUUUUAUUCUCAGGAGUCCAAAAAGUGACAUAAUUAUACAGUCAUUUCAAAGCUAACAGGAAAAGAGGACUAGAGACAAAAUAGUUCUUGUUUAGAUGAGAGGAAUACUGCUGUGUUAAAUUCUCUCUCUCUCUCUCUCUCUCUUUCUCUCUCCCUCUGUUUCUUUGUCCCUUUC